rnacentral:rRNA from 1 species
CCUACGGGGUGCAGCAGUGGGGAAUAUUGGACAAUGGGCGAAAGCCUGAUCCAGCCAUGCCGCGUGUGUGAAGAAGGCCUUCGGGUUGUAAAGCACUUUCAGUGGGGAAGAAAGCCUUGGGGCUAAUACCCUCGAGGAAGGACAUCACCCACAGAAGAAGCACCGGCUAACUCCGUGCCAGCAGCCGCGGUAAUACGGAGGGUGCGAGCGUUAAUCGGAAUUACUGGGCGUAAAGCGCGCGUAGGCGGUCUGAUAAGCCGGUUGUGAAAGCCCCGGGCUCAACCUGGGAACGGCAUCCGGAACUGUCAGGCUAGAGUGCAGGAGAGGAAGGUAGAAUUCCCGGUGUAGCGGUGAAAUGCGUAGAGAUCGGGAGGAAUACCAGUGGCGAAGGCGGCCUUCUGGACUGACACUGACGCUGAGGUACGAAAGCGUGGGUAGCAAACAGGAUUAGAUACCCUAGUAGUC